rnacentral:rRNA from 1 species
UGCAGUCGAACGGUGAACACGGAGCUUGCUCUGUGGGAUCAGUGGCGAACGGGUGAGUAACACGUGAGCAACCUGCCCCUGACUCUGGGAUAAGCGCUGGAAACGGCGUCUAAUACUGGAUAUGUGACGUGAUCGCAUGGUCUGCGUCUGGAAAGAAUUUCGGUUGGGGAUGGGCUCGCGGCCUAUCAGCUUGUUGGUGAGGUAAUGGCUCACCAAGGCGUCGACGGGUAGCCGGCCUGAGAGGGUGACCGGCCACACUGGGACUGAGACACGGCCCAGACUCCUACGGGAGGCAGCAGUGGGGAAUAUUGCACAAUGGGCGCAAGCCUGAUGCAGCAACGCCGCGUGAGGGAUGACGGCCUUCGGGUUGUAAACCUCUUUUAGCAGGGAAGAAGCGAAAGUGACGGUACCUGCAGAAAAAGCGCCGGCUAACUACGUGCCAGCAGCCGCGGUAAUACGUAGGGCGCAAGCGUUAUCCGGAAUUAUUGGGCGUAAAGAGCUCGUAGGCGGUUUGUCGCGUCUGCUGUGAAAUCCGGAGGCUCAACCUCCGGCCUGCAGUGGGUACGGGCAGACUAGAGUGCGGUAGGGGAGAUUGGAAUUCCUGGUGUAGCGGUGGAAUGCGCAGAUAUCAGGAGGAACACCGAUGGCGAAGGCAGAUCUCUGGGCCGUAACUGACGCUGAGGAGCGAAAGGGUGGGGAGCAAACAGGCUUAGAUACCCUGGUAGUCCACCCCGUAAACGUUGGGAACUAGUUGUGGGGUCCAUUCCACGGAUUCCGUGACGCAGCUAACGCAUUAAGUUCCCCGCCUGGGGAGUACGGCCGCAAGGCUAAAACUCAAAGGAAUUGACGGGGACCCGCACAAGCGGCGGAGCAUGCGGAUUAAUUCGAUGCAACGCGAAGAACCUUACCAAGGCUUGACAUAUACGAGAACGGGCCAGAAAUGGUCAACUCUUUGGACACUCGUAAACAGGUGGUGCAUGGUUGUCGUCAGCUCGUGUCGUGAGAUGUUGGGUUAAGUCCCGCAACGAGCGCAACCCUCGUUCUAUGUUGCCAGCACGUAAUGGUGGGAACUCAUGGGAUACUGCCGGGGUCAACUCGGAGGAAGGUGGGGAUGACGUCAAAUCAUCAUGCCCCUUAUGUCUUGGGCUUCACGCAUGCUACAAUGGCCGGUACAAAGGGCUGCAAUACCGCGAGGUGGAGCGAAUCCCAAAAAGCCGGUCCCAGUUCGGAUUGAGGUCUGCAACUCGACCUCAUGAAGUCGGAGUCGCUAGUAAUCGCAGAUCAGCAA